ensembl:lncRNA
AGGUGCAUGUAAUGCAAUGCAGCUGAGUGACCAGAAGGGGUGCAGCCAGGAUCCACCCUUCCCUAGACCUCAUUUAAGGGUUGAGACAGUGAAGACAAGGGUGUCUUGCUGGAGAUUCCUGCCUACCUGAGGUCUGUUGGGCUGUAGGUUGCAACCUCUGUUGUCACUGUACAAGAAUUAAUUCCAGUUGGCUGCUACAAGUGUAUGCUUUUGUCUUGCAUCAUAUGACGUCCAAGGCGCAGCUAAUGGAAUCUCUUUAGAAUAUCCAGUCAUCUGCUGUACGUGUCUUUACUCAGGUGGUUUUUGAACUGGAAUGCACUGUUACCUUGAGUUGCCAGUUCAACCACCAGGUGGCCAUCAGCGAGCAGAAGUCGGCCUGUCCUUGGGUGGCGGCUCUAUCCCAGCUGUGGGGAUACGAAGGGGAAAAGCAGAAGCUCACCUCUGGUCACCAG